rnacentral:rRNA from 1 species
UACGGAAGGCAGCAGUGGGGAAUAUUGCACAAUGGGCGCAAGCCUGAUGCAGCCAUGCCGCGUGUAUGAAAAAGGCCUUCGGGUUGUAAAGUACUUUCAGUCGUGAGGAAGGUGUUAAGGUUAAUAACCUUAGCAAUUGACGUUAGCGACAGAAGAAGCACCGGCUAACUCCGUGCCAGCAGCCGCGGUAAUACGGAGGGUGCGAGCGUUAAUCGGAAUUACUGGGCGUAAAGGGCACGCAGGCGGUUAAUUAAGUUGGAUGUGAAAUCCCCGGGCUUAACCUGGGAAUGGCAUUCAAGACUGGUUAGCUAGAGUCUUGUAGAGGGGGUAGAAUUCCGAUGUGUAGCGGUGAAAUGCGUAGAGAUGUGGAGGAAUACCGGUGGCGAAGGCGGCCCCUGGCAAAGACUGACGCUCAUGUGCGAAAGCGUGGGGAGCAAAC